rnacentral:tRNA from 1 species
GUCCCUGUAGCUCAGUGGAUAGAGCGUUGCACUCCGGAUGCAAAGGUCGUGGGUUCAAUUCCCACCAGGGACA